rnacentral:tRNA from 1 species
GGGUAUAUAGUUCAGCGGUAGAGUGUGUGCUUAGCAUGCAUGAGGUCCUGGUUUCAAAUUCCAGAACCUCCA